UACGAACUGUGCGAACGUUAUUCGGAAUCACUGGGCUUAAAGGGUGCGUAGGCGGCAGCUCAAGUCAGGUGUGAAACCCCCCGGCUCAACCGGGGAACAGCGCUUGAAACUGGGUCGCUCGAGUGAGGCAGGGGUGUAUGGAACUUCCGGUGGAGCGGUGAAAUGUGUAGAUAUCGGAAGGAACGCCGGCGGCGAAAGCGGUACACUGGGCCUUGUCUGACGCUGAGGCACGAAAGCUAGGGGAGUGAACGGG
rnacentral:misc_RNA from 1 species